rnacentral:misc_RNA from 1 species
GCGGAAGCUAAAUUCUGGUUUUGCUUGCUUUCCAUAACAAUUGCUGCCCUUGCACCUCGUUUUGUCGUCAAAGCUUUCAUUCAGCAUGCUAGACCUCGUGAUAUUCAGAUUGCAAGAGAAGGAGAGAAGUUCAGAAAUUUAAGAGACUCUCAGACUGCAGAAAUAGAAAUGAAUCCAAUUGUUGACCCUCCUCGACGAUGAUUGAGCUUUUUACUGAGUUCUCUUCUCCAUCACUUCUGCUUGUAAAAAGGUUUUUCUUUAUAUUUCUUUUGGUUACUUUGGAGAUUUCCUCCUUGUUACCGGAUUUUGUUUGUUUUGGUAUCCAAAGGAUAGGAGUAGUUAGUAUU